GAUGAAGAACGUAGCAAAAUGCGAUAAGUAAUGUGAAUUGCAGAAUUCAGUGAAUCAUCGAAUCUUUGAACGCACAUUGCGCCCGCUGGUAUUCCGGCGGGCAUGCCUGUUCGAGCGUCAUUUCAACCCUCAAGCCCCCGGGUUUGGUGUAGGGGAUCGGCUCUGCCCUUCUGGGCGGUGCCGCCCCCGAAAUACAUUGGCGGUCUCGCUGCAGCCUCCAUUGCGUAGUAGCUAACACCUCGCAACUGGAACGCGGCGCGGCCAUGCCGUAAAACCCCAACUUCUGAAUGUUGACCUCGGAUCAGGUAGGAAUACCCGCUGAACUUAAGCAUAUCAAUAAGCGGAGGA
rnacentral:misc_RNA from 1 species